AACGAACGUUGGCGGUAGGCUUAACACAUGCAAGUCGAACGAGAAACCCCUUCGGGGGCGGACAGUGGCGAACGGGUGAGUAAUACUUGGGAACAUACCUAGAAGUGGGGGAUAACAGUUAGAAAUGACUGCUAAUACCGCAUAAUCCAUAUUGGGAAAGCUUUAGUGCUUUUAGAUUGGCCCAAGCCUGAUUAGCUUGUUGGUGCGGUAACGGCGCACCAAGGCGACGAUCAGUAGCUGGUUUGAGAGAAUGAUCAGCCACACUGGGACUGAGACACGGCCCAGACUCCUACGGGAGGCAGCAGUGGGGAAUAUUGCGCAAUGGGCGAAAGCCUGACGCAGCCAUACCGCGUGUACGAUGAAGGCCUUCGGGUUGUAAAGUACUUUUACCAGUCAUAAUAGUGAUAGUAGCUGGAGAAAAAGUCCCGGCUAAUUCAG
rnacentral:rRNA from 1 species